rnacentral:rRNA from 1 species
CUACGGGUUGCUGCAGUGGGGAAUAUUGGACAAUGGGGGAAACCCUGAUCCAGCAAUGCCGCGUGUGUGAAGAAGGCCUGCGGGUUGUAAAGCACUUUCGGUUGGGAGGACUGCUUCUAGCACUAAUAUUGUUGGAAGUUGACGUUACCUUCAGAAGAAGCACCGGCUAACUCCGUGCCAGCGAGCCGCGGUAAUACGGAGGGUGCAAGCGGUAAUCGGAAUUACUGGCGUAAAGCGCGCGUAGGCGGCUAGAUCAGUCGGGUGUGAAAGCCCCGGGCUUAACCUGGGAACUGCAUCCGAUACUGGCUAGCUUGAGUACAGGAGAGGAGAGUGGAAUUCCACAUGUAGCGGUGAAAUGCGUAGAUAUGUGGAGGAACACCAAUGGCGAAGGCAGCUCUCUGGCCUGAUACUGACGCUGAGGUGCGAAAGCGUGGGGAGCAAACAGGAUUAGAUACCCUUGUAGUC